AUUGCUAAAAGACAGUUAACUCUCUGAUAUUUGUCCAUUCGCUUUCUAUAUGGAGGGGAAUUAAUAUGUACAGAUGAGCCUUCCAAACUGAAUAUUUGAGUGCUCUUCUUGUUUGAAAUUUUUUGUUCACAACAGUAGGUUGAUGCCCGCAGUUGUUUGAAAUCAAAUUCAGAGGAUACACAACCUAAGAUCGACACAUCCCUACCUGAACCAAAGGGUCGUACGCCCAUCAUUAUUAUUAUUUUCAAUGCUAUUUGUGUUCUUCAUAUCCCCAAUUAAUUUAUUCAGUCUUACUUUUGACAUAAAACGCAAGUUGACUUUGAACCCCUUCUCCACCACAGGCAAGGUCGAACCCCAACACCGAGAAGGUAUCUUGGCACCAAAUCAUCGCGAGAAGAAGGAGCCUCCGAACAGGAAACCGGCGGGGAGCAUGCCACCGUAGGGGAAGGGCAGGGGAGACAUGGUGGCGGCUAGCUGGGCCAAGCUGCGAACGCCCAUCGGCGACUUUCGUUGGGGUCCAUACCAUUCUUCCUCCCCUCACUCCGAUGCCAAAACCAGUAGGUGCAGCAAGAAGGUCAAGCAUCAACAGAGGUGCACAUCCGCACAUGGGUGGCGUGAACAGAUGGCUACCCCAAGAUAAUCUGAACUAGCUUGCAGCAUCCGAUGAGAAACCAAGCCAGUUUCUCAGCAUGGCAGAUAACUCUCUAGACAUGAUCAUGUCUCUAGCAGUUAAGUUUUGAACUGGAACUGUUGAUCACAUUAUAACUGUUCCUGCUACUGCAGGUUCGACUUGAAUUUUGUAUUAUGUACAGAUGGUGUUGGUGUGCCUCUCCAUAGGUUUCUACCUCCCGGAAUUCAUCUUCCUAUUGCCACAUAAUUACAUCCUUUGUUUUUGGGAAAACAAUGUAUAGAUCCAUUGUUUCUCUCUACAGUGCGCAUGCCCUUUUAUUUGUUUUUGGAUAGAUUCUUCCAUUGAUUUCUUGCUAUGCUUGGAUAACUAGAGUAUCUAAUUCGAAAUUAUCCAGUCUUUUGUAUGUUCACUUGCAUAGAUGGCUUAAUCCAGAACCUAAAGUGAAGAAAAUAUAGCACAUAUACUUGGUCAUUUCUCCUAAGAAGAUUAAUCCACCUGGACUUUUAACUUGACUUCCAAAGAAGUUCUGAAUGAUCAAGCAUGUUCGGGUUUUUAGUAAACUGAAAUAGUGUUGCACCCUGACAAUAGUAUUCUGAUUUUCUAAGUUAACAAAAUCUUCUCACAUACGCAAUACGUCAUGCAGAUCGGGUCGUAGUCGGAGCACAACUAAGGUUGGCGCUGCUCAAGUGUUUGCAGCGGGAUCCUCUUCUACAACGGUGAUGACAAGGGCUCCGCUCCCAGUUCAGUCUAUCAACUACACACACAACUCCUGGACCUGCCUUCAGAUUUAAGGCAAGCGCUUCAGUACUUCCUUGUGUUGCAUAGUCACUAGACUGGGUUUUCUUUGAUUCUAUGAUUGGUUUGUUUUCAUCGCAAUGUAUGUGUCCACACAAUCAAAAGGAUCAAGAUAGCUUCACAUAGAUUAGUUAAUUGGCCAGGUACAUACGAAGCUGUGAAUCUAAACAGGACGCACAUACAUCACCACACCAAUAUGUUGUGUGUAACACGACCAUUCCUAACAUACCAUGGUUUGCAUGGUGGAUAACCGAUGUGUGUUAAGAUGAGCAGCAGCACGCUCACACAUUAUCUUUGCCAUUUAAAUAACCAUAUUUGUUCUAUGAAGUUUCUGUUAUAUAUCUCUAUGUCCAUGUACUUCUCAAAAGUUACCUUGGAUGAGAAGCAUUGUUUUGCUGGUCUUUGUGAAGACAAGAUAGGAAGAUCCAUGUUCUUGAUCAAUCAAAUAUGGUCAAAACUGUAGUUUUUUCACCAGUGUA